rnacentral:rRNA from 1 species
UAACGCGUGAAGUAGACCGCCUGGGGAGUUACGGUCGCAAGAUUAAAACUCAAAGGAAUUGACGGGGACCCGCACAAGCGGUGGAUGAUGUGGAUUAAUUCGAUGCAACGCGAAAAACCUUACCUACCCUUGACAUGUACAGAAUCCCGAAGAGAUUUGGGAGUGUUCGAAAGAAAGCUGUAACACAGGUGCUGCAUGGCUGUCGUCAGCUCGUGUCGUGAGAUGUUGGGUUAAGUCCCGCAACGAGCGCAACCCUUGUCAUUAGUUGCUACGAAAGGGCACUCUAAUGAGACUGCCGGUGACAAACCGGAGGAAGGUGGGGAUGACGUCAAGUCCUCAUGGCCCUUAUGGGUAGGGCUUCACACGUCAUACAAUGGUACAUACAGAGGGCCGCCAACCCGUGAGGGGGAGCUAAUCCCAGAAAGUGUAUCGUAGUCCGGAUUGUAGUCUGCAACUCGACUACAUGAAGUUGGAAUCGCUAGUAAUCGCGGAUCAGCAUGUCGCGGUGAAUACGUUCCCGGGUCUUGUACACACCGCCCGUCACACCA